GGAAUUUUGAAAAUAGAGGGGCUUUUUGGGAUUUUGUUACAUUAGAGGGUUAUACCACCUCUCUCUCUCACUCUUAGCUUCUCUCUCUCCUUCUCACUUAGCUCUCUCUCUCUCUAAACCGAAAAGAGAAGGAAAAGAAGAAAAGAAGGAGAGAAAGAAAGAGAAGAAGAAGGAAAGGAAGGAGAAGAUCAAGGAGAAGAAGAAGAAGCUUCUCUCCCUCCUCUUCCUCAAUCUA
rnacentral:lncRNA from 1 species